AAAGUAACAUUUUAAUGUGGAGCUUAGUAAUCGCCUAGAAUGAAUGGCGAUAUACAGUUUACUGCACCCUCCAAUGCGCAAAAGAGGCAGGAUGGCAAAAUUCAUGACUAUCUUAAGCAAGCCAGGAGACUGCUAAAAAGCCACCCCGGCUUUUCCUCCUCCACCAGCUGAGGCACCCGGUCUCCCGGUUUCCACACGCGUUCAGAGACACAAACUCACCCGCCGCUGAGGAAACGGUACUGCCUUCGCGACCUUCUGGGAUCCAGGUUACGAGUGCGCUCCACUGGUUCGAGAUUUCUGCCCGUCGCUCGCCAGGGAGACUGAGUGCCCAAGCGCCUACUCGCACAGGCCGCAAAUACAGCCGCGCUGCGCGGCGAGCUGAUGGAGGUCUUCCUCUUGCCCGGCGUGCACUGCGGCCGGGGGCGGGGAGCGCGGAACCAUAGAGAAGAACGUAUAUAGAUCGUCUCCGCUGUUGGCUCUGACUCACCAAGCCG
rnacentral:lncRNA from 1 species